AAUGGGGGAAACCCUGAUCUAGCCAUGCCGCGUGAUCGAUGAAGGCCUUAGGGUUGUAAAGAUCUUUCAGAUGGGAAGAUAAUGACGGUACCAUCAGAAGAAGCCCCGGCUAACUCCGUGCCAGCAGCCGCGGUAAUACGGAGGGGGCUAGCGUUAUUCGGAAUUACUGGGCGUAAAGCGCACGUAGGCGGACUGGAAAGUCAGAGGUGAAAGCCCAGGGCUCAACCCUGGAACUGCCUUUGAAACUCCCAGUCUUGAGGUCGAGAGAGGUGAGUGGAAUUCCGAGUGUAGAGGUGAAAUUCGUAGAUAUUCGGAGGAACACCAGUGGCGAAGGCGGCUCACUGGCUCGAUACUGACGCUGAGGUGCGAAAGCGUGGGGAGCAAA
rnacentral:rRNA from 1 species